UACAGAGGUCUCAAGCGUUGUUCGGAUUCAUUGGGCGUAAAGAGUGUGUAGGUGGUGUCGUAAGUUUGGUGUGAAAUCUCCCGGCUUAACUGGGAGGGUGCGCCGAAGACUGCGAUGCUGGAGUAUGGGAGAGGAAAGCGGAAUUCCUGGUGUAGCGGUGAAAUGCGUAGAUAUCAGGAGGAACACCUGCGGUGUAGACGGCUUUCUGGACCAUUACUGACACUGAGACACGAAAGCGUGGGUAGCAAACAGG
rnacentral:rRNA from 1 species